GACGAACGCUGGCGGCGUGCUUAACACAUGCAAGUCGAACGAUGAAGCCGGAGCUUGCUCUGGUGAAUUAGUGGCGAACGGGUGAGUAACACGUGAGUAACCUGCCCUUGACUCUGGGAUAACUGCGGGAAACUGUAGCUAAUACCGGAUACGACCCUCGGAGGCAUCUCCUGGGGGUGGAAAGAAUUUCGGUCAAGGAUGGACUCGCGGCCUAUCAGCUAGUUUGUGAGGUAACGGCUCACCAAGGCGACGACGGGUAGCCGGCCUGAGAGGGUGACCGGCCACACUGGGACUGAGACACGGCCCAGACUCCUACGGGAGGCAGCAGUGGGGAAUAUUGCACAAUGGGCGCAAGCCUGAUGCAGCAACGCCGCGUGAGGGAUGACGGCCUUCGGGUUGUAAACCUCUUUUAGCAGGGAAGAAGCGAAAGUGACGGUACCUGCAGAAAAAGCACCGGCUAACUACGUGCCAGCAGCCGCAGUAA
rnacentral:rRNA from 1 species